GUCACUUACAAGUCACCACAGGCAGAACAGUGAGGCAUCUCUCCGCUGAGAUGUGCUGUGUUGUCUUGGCCGGUUACUAUGGCAACCUCCUUGGUUCUUAAGCUAUUUUCCCCUGGUGGAAUCUUGACGCUGUCAGAAAGAAGCCUGUUUGUUAUUAGUAAUGAAAAUAGAAUUCUUUCUCUUUUCUUUCUUCUUUUUUUAAAUUUAUUUGUAUGUAUGUAUGUAUGUAUGUAUUUAUUUAUUUUUUGCUUCUCCCUCUCCCUGCUUCAUCAAUGCAGGUAGCAGGGACAUCUUUUUGGUUGCUAAAAUCAUUCAUUUUUCUUUGCCCUUUCAUUAUGAAUUCCAGAAAUUCUUUUAGAAUUUAAAUUGUCUUGUAUUAGUCUCUCUACUCUCCAUGUAAUCUAACUCAGUAUGGAAAUCAAAAGCACUCUGUAAAUUAAACAAUAAGAAAAGGGCAUUUGGCUUUUACAGCACCUUGAAAGAGAACCUUAAACCAUGCAUUCGACAUGGCCUGCCGCCUUCUGUCUGUAGAGCGGUGUUUGAAGUUACCUGUUCCUGUUGCUGUUUAAUUACACAGUACUUAGACAAAACAGCUGCACAAAUGUACAAGGGCAGACUGUGGUCCAUGUUGAGGUUUUGGCCUAAGUAAGAGGAACUAAGAGGCCUAAGGAAAAAGGGGACUUUGUUUCUCACUUUCUAACUAUUCCUAAGUUGAUUUUAUAUACUAACGGCAGAAAACUAAUACAAGUGAAAUAUUUUUAUACUGUCUCUUUUUAUUUGAAGGUCAUCGACAUUCCAUAAUUUUGUCAAAAUAGCACUAACUAAAAACCCCAAGAAAAGACCAACUGCUGAAAGGCUUCUGACUGUAAGUCACUGGAUCCCAGGGUUCUGAGGCUCCCGGCAGCUACGUGUGUCACUAAAACAAAAGUAGACAUUGUAAAACUUGGGUUGUUAUUCCUCUCAGGGAUGAAUGCAGGCAUCAACCAACGUUCUUUCUGUAAGGGACAAGACUCUACAUAUUUCUAUCUGCAUAAAUAUUUAUGGUCUGUACAGUUUCUAUCACAACUAUUCAGUUUGACACAAAAGUACCCAUAGACAGUAUACAUACAUAGGCAUAGUUUUAACCCCCAAGAAAACUUUAUUUACAAAAGUAGUCAGGACACCAGAUUUUGCUGAGGCUACAUUUUGAGAAUACUCUUCAAAAUCUUAUCAUCUAAGAUUAGUUGCUUUCUUAAUUUAUGCAAAUGUAUAAUAUAUUCUACAUGUAUAUGUAAUGUACAGUAACCUAAGAAAACUCUACGAUUUAACUGAAUUGAAUGGAUGUGACUAUAUAACAUGCUUUUUCUUACUGUUUUGAAACAUCCCACUGUAUUUAUUUGUAUACCAGGAUAAUAUAUAAAUGAGCAUCAUUGUUUAGCUGGUUAUAAUUUACAGCAUAAUAUAGAUUAACUGUACAUAGAGAAGUGAUUCACAUUGUCCUCUCACACCACAAGUGUCCGAUGUGGUCAUAGGUGGUCAUAGGCUAUCAAUCAUAGGUGCUCACAGUGAUCAUAGGCAAUUGAUGCCUCCACUUCUGCACUCCCCAUGUCUCAAUGCAGACUCCCCUGCUCAUCUCUUCUUACAAGUUACUGACUUAAAAAUCACAAGUAACGUUUUUUUUAACUAUAGGUGUGAAGGCUCAUUUGUGAAAUGUUACUGUGUUUGAUUUUUACUUAGCACACUUUUGUUGGGCAGCCAGGCCUGUCUCGGGCGCUCGCGGUUGAGCUGUUGGACAAGGUGAGCAAUCCGGACAACCAUGCUCCCUACAGUGAGGGCGAUGAGGACGACUUGGAGGUAAGAGCAGGAGACCGGCGAAGGCUUGGGGAGGUUUUGAGAUUUUUAACGUGUAUUCUCUUUAUUUCAGUGAUUCAUUUAAUGUUGACUUUAUAGACAAGGUAUCAUAGGAUACAGCUUGGCCUGGAUCAAUAUGUUGAUCAGGCUAACUCCGAGUUCUCGGGUAUCCUUUCUCAGCCUCCCAAGCGCUAGGGUUACUGGUAUGAACCACUACACCCAAUUGAGGGUUUAUUUUCUAAUUUACACCUCAAUUUAGUUAAAAUGGGUGAAGCCACAAAAAUUAACAAUGUAAACUCUGUAUACAUGCUCACUUAAUUAUAGCCUUCGAAGGCUUUCCUACUCCUGUUCUCCUCGCAGUUCUGAGGUCCUCCUCCUCCCCCCACACACGCAGGCCUAGAAUUCCAGAGGUGCCUUCUUCCAGACCUCAGCUUGUAGUGAGAUGUGAUCUUCCAAAGAACGUAUAGAAAUGACAUUUGUUGCCUAGGAAAUAGAGAGAGGCUUUAAGAAUCUCACUUUGGAACAAGAAGGAAAGGUUUAGGUGCAACAUAUAGGCAUAUACGUUUUCAUAAGAGAGACUCCUUAUAAAUGGAGUUGGUCAUUUUUAAUUUUCCCAUUUAUGCAUAUUAACACAAUAUAGGUAAUUCUAAAGGAGUAAGUUGAAAUCCUCAGUGGGGUAUUCUUACAUAAUUGCAUGUAGCUAUUCUAUUACUAUACAUAUCUCCUCUGAAAAUAUGAUGGGAUUAUUUUGAGUUUACCAUAUGUAGUAGCUCAACAUGUAAAUUAGGAAUAAGGGACUUUCCCGCUCAUUGCCUGUACCACUGUUCUGUGCAAGUGCUUAAUAAAUAUAAUCUUUAUAGAAUCUUUAAAAGACAAUCUGUGUUCCCCCCCAAUGCUUCAUAUAAUUUAAUCCUGUUAUAUAAUUUUUGAUAUUAAAUUAUCUAGAAUUGCAAACAUUAAAUAAGCCAACCACACAUAAAUUUCCUACACACACUUAGUUCACUAUUCACAGCCUAAGAUUAAUAAAGCUUGGGUAGGCAAGGUGUCUGGGUUACUAAAGGUACUUACUACUCAGGUUAACUGAGGUUAGGAAAGGUACUUACUACUCAGGUUAACUGAGGUUAGGAAAGGUACUUACUACUCAGGUUAACUGAGGUUAGGAAAGGUACUUACUACUGAGCUUGAUAAUCUGAGACCUGAGACUGAUUCCAGAUAAUCACGUAGUGAAAUGAGAAACUGACUCCCACGAGUCCUUUAGAUCUCCACAUGUGUACAUGAAUACAUACACAUAAUAAAUAUAAUUCUUUUUAAAAAAUAAGAUUCAUGAAAUUUUAUGGCGGGCAUAUUCACAUUCGUAAGUAAAGAUACAAACCCCUGGGCUUCCCUCCUUCUGCCUACUUACUGAGUCCUUUUUGGGUGUUUGUUUGUUUGUUUGUUAGCAAUAUGCCGUUCUUUUCAGUCCUUGAAACACAGAACUUUCCAUCAUAUCCUGGGCAUGGUGAUGUGAGACUGACCCUGUCCCUGCGUUCAGAGAUAGGGUUACUCUCAAAGGGAAUGCAGAAACACCAACACAAAACUGAUAGAACUGAUAAUUCCUAUGGAGUAGGAAAUAUAGGGCACUGUGAGGGAAUACCAUAGGUAUGGCAGGAAAGAGACAAAAGCCUGAAGGAAGACUAAGAAAUUAGAAAGAGCAAGAAUAAGGUUUGGGGGUUGAUUAAUUAUUAGGUAGGUAGGUUGGUUGGUUGGUUUUGUUUUUUCAGAUUUAUUUUAUCAUUUUAAGGGUACAAGUGUUUUGCCCAGAUGAGGGUGGCAGAUCUAGGAGAGUUACAGACACUCAUGAGCUAUCACAUGGGUGCUGGGAAUUGAACUCAGAUGCUCUGCAGCCAGUGUCCUU
rnacentral:lncRNA from 1 species